rnacentral:rRNA from 1 species
AUGAGGAGCUUGAAAGACGAAAGAACAAAGAUUUUUCCCUCAACUACGAGGGGAGGUAAGGAACUGCCAUCUAGCUCUGCACUAGAUUCUCCUUCUGUUUUGAGUAAGCUUGCGACACCUAAACCUGCUACUACUAUGAAUUCUGAUAUGUCGCAUGUUAUUGAUGAUGCCACUUCUGCUAUACAUGAUACUUAUGAUGAAACUACUUCUGUGCGUGAUACUACUUUUCCAUUAGGUGAAUUUCUUGAUGAACAACUUGCUAGGGUUAGAGAGAAUGAAAUUAUUAAUGAUGAUAUUAUCGAUGAUAGUGAUUAUGAAAGUUCUCCCCCUGAUUAUGAAUUACCUGUUGUUCCUGAGGGUUAUGUUAUGGAUGAGGAAGCUGCUAGAGCUAUUUUUGCUUGCAAAGAUAGAUAUGAUCUUAAGAAUUUAUUAGCUAAAUGGAAGCAGCAACCCCUUAAUGCAAGAAUGAAACCUGACCCCGCUUUUGCUACUUCACCUAUCUGCGUUACUGAUAAGGACUAUGAAUUCUCUGUUGAUCCUAAGAUAAUUACUUUGGUUGAAUCUGAUGCUUUUUAUGGCUAUGAAUUUGAAACUGUUGUGGCACAUCUUACCAAGUUAAAUGAUAUAGCCACCCUGUUUACUAAUGAUGAGAAGUCUUGCUAUUAUUAUAUCCUUAAGAUAUUUCCGUUCUCAUUAAAGGGUGAUGCUAAAACUUGGUUUAAUUCCCUUGAUCCUGGUUGUGUGCGUAGUCCCCAGGAUAUGAUUUAUUACUUCUCUGCUAAAUCUUUCCAUGCUCAUAAGAAACAAGCUGCCUUGCGGGAAAUAUAUGAUUUUGUGCAAAUCAAAGAAGAGAGUCUCCCACAAGCUUGGGGGAGGCUUCUCCGAUUACUUAAUGCUUUGCCUGAUCAUCCUCUUAAGAAAAAUGAAAUACUUGAUAUCUUUUAUAAUGGACUAACCGAUGCUUCCAAGGACUACUUGGAUAGUUGUGCUGGUUGUGUUUUUAGGGAAAGAACAGUCGACCAAGCUGAAUUACUAUUGAAUAAUAUGUUGACUAAUGAAAAUAAUUGGACUCUUCCUAAGCCAAUUCCUGAGGCAAUUCCUGAGCCAAUUGAGCCAACUCCUGAGCGUAUUCUUAAACCAACUCCGAAGAAGAGGGGAGUUCUAUUUCUCAGUCCUGAAGAUAUGCACGAGGCAAAGAAAUCAAUGAAAGAAAAAGGUAUUAAAGCUGAAGAUGUUAAGAAUUUACCACCUAUUGAAGAAAUACAUGGUCUUAAUAUA